rnacentral:rRNA from 1 species
AUGCCGUCGGACUCUUGGAAAAGCAACGCGGGCAGAGGAAGAGCACGCGCCCCAGCGUCGGAGGAGGCUUGGCAGGAGAUGGUUGUUCUGCUGGAGGCGUGUUCCGCCCCAGCCAGGAGUUUGUCGAGCGCGGCCUCCCCCAAUGGGGAGUUCUACAUCUGGCAGUGGCGCGUCGGCGUGCCGCACGGCGCUGGGAUGUACUUGUGGACGGACGGGUGGAUGUACGAGGGGGAGUGGCGGCACGGCCCUGGGCGCAAGUUCUCCUAUCCGUCGGGCCGGGAGUCACCUUAG